CCUACGGGAGGCAGCAGUGAGGAAUAUUGGUCAAUGGGCUUACGCCUGAACCAGCCAAGUCGCGUGAGGGAAGACUGCCCUAUGGGUUGUAAACCUCUUUUGUCAGGGAGCAACGCCGGCUACGUGUAGCCGGACUGAGAGUACCUGAAGAAAAAGCAUCGGCUAACUCCGUGCCAGCAGCCGCGGUAAUACGGAGGAUGCGAGCGUUAUCCGGAUUUAUUGGGUUUAAAGGGUGCGUAGGCGGAAUGCCAAGUCAGCGGUAAAAUCGCGGGGCUCAACCUCGCUCCGCCGUUGAAACUGGCGUUCUUGAGUGGGCGAGAAGUAUGCGGAAUGCGUGGUGUAGCGGUGAAAUGCAUAGAUAUCACGCAGAACUCCGAUUGCGAAGGCAGCAUACCGGCGCCCAACUGACGCUGAAGCACGAAAGCGUGGGUAUCGAACAGGAUUAGAUACCCCAGUAGUC
rnacentral:rRNA from 1 species